rnacentral:rRNA from 1 species
UACAUGGGGUGCAAACGUUGCUCGGAAUCAUUGGGCGUAAAGCGCGCGUAGGCGGUUACUUAUGUCGGAUGUGAAAGCCCUCGGCUUAACUGAGGAAGUGCAUUCGAAACUGGGUAGCUAGAGUACUAAAGAGGGUCGCGGAAUUCCCGGUGUAGAGGUGAAAUUCGUAGAUAUCGGGAGGAACACCGGUGGCGAAGGCGGUUCUCUGGGCCUUACCUGACGCUGAGGAGCGAAAGCGUGGGGAGCGAACAGG